rnacentral:tRNA from 2 species
CGUGGCUCAGCCGGUAGAGCAAUUGAUUCGUAAUCAAUAGGUCGGCGGUUCGAAUCCGCCC